AUACGUAGGUGGCGAGCGUUGUCCGGAAUUACUGGGCGUAAAGGGCGCGUAGGCGGUAGGUUAAGUCGGAUGUGAAAGUCCAUGGCUCAACCAUGGAGUUGCAUAUGAAACUGAUCUACUUGAGUUCAGGAGAGGAGAGCGGAAUUCCUAGUGUAGCGGUGAAAUGCGUAGAGAUUAGGAAGAACACCAGUGGCGAAGGCGGCUCUCUGGACUGUAACUGACGCUGAGGCGCGAAAGCGUGGGUAGCGAACAGGAUUAGAUACCCUGGUAGUCCACGCCGUAAACGAUGAGUGCUAGGUGUUGGGGGUCGAACUCCAGUGCCGCAGUUAACACAUUAAGCACUCCGCCUGGGGAGUACGACCGCAAGGUUGAA
rnacentral:rRNA from 1 species